AUACGGAGGGGGCUAGCGUUGUUCGGAAUAACUGGGCGUAAAGCGCGUGUAGGCGGCUUGGUAAGUCGGGUGUGAAAGCCCGGGGCUCAACCCCGGAACUGCAUCCGAAACUACCUCGCUAGAGUCCCGGAGAGGAAGGCAGAAUUCCCAGUGUAGGGGUGAAAUCCGUAGCUAUUGGGAGGAAUACCAGUGGCGAAGGCGGCCUUCUGGACGGUGACUGACGCUGAGACGCGAAAGCGUGGGGAGCAAACAGGAUUAGAUACCCGUGUAGUCC
rnacentral:rRNA from 1 species